rnacentral:sRNA from 1 species
AGAUUGCUGGCCCCACCCUGGAGUGUCUGAUUCACUAGGGCAUAUCGAUGCAUUUACUUCAAAACUUUUUCUACUGGAAGAAAUUACCUCAGAAGAAUUAAAAGAAAAGCUUUCAGCACUCAAGAUUUCCAAUUUAUUUAACAUCCUCCAACACAUUCUAAAGAAAUUAAGUAGCUUGCAGGAGGGUUCCUACUUGUUAUCUCAUGCAGCAGAAGAUUCUUCACUCCUGAUUUAUAAGGCCUCUGAUGGAAAAGUUACUAGGACAGCAUACAAUUUGUAUAAAACACAUUGCGGCCUUCCUGGUGUACCUUCCAGUCUCUCAGUUCCCUGGGUCCCGUUAGAUCCCAGCCUGUUAUUACCAUAUCAUAUCCAUCAUGGAAGAAUACCUUGUACUUUUCCACCUAAAUCACUGGAUACCACAACACAACAAAAGAUUGGUGGAACGAGAAUGCCUACACGCAGCCACAGGAAUCCAGUUUCCAUGGAAACCAAAAGCAGUUGCUUGCCUGCUCAGCAAGUUGAAACUGAAGGAGGGGCUCCACAU